rnacentral:rRNA from 1 species
UACGUAUGGAGCGAGCGUUGUCCGGAAUUAUUGGGCGUAAAGGGUACGCAGGCGGUUUAAUAAGUCGAAUGUUAAAGAUCGGGGCUCAACCCCGUAAAGCAUUGGAAACUGAUAAACUUGAGUAGUGGAGAGGAAAGUGGAAUUCCUAGUGUAGUGGUGAAAUACGUAGAUAUUAGGAGGAAUACCAGUAGCGAAGGCGACUUUCUGGACACAAACUGACGCUGAGGUACGAAAGCGUGGGGAGCAAACAGGAUUAGAUACCCUGGUAGUC